rnacentral:rRNA from 1 species
AGCGAACGCUGGCGGCGUGCUUAACACAUGCAAGUCGAGUGCGAGUUUUUUGUAGCAAUACAGGGAAUGGGCGCACGGCGCACGGGUGAGUAACACGUGGGUACCUGCCCUCCAAAAGGGGAUAACCCGCCGAAAGGCGGGCUAAUACCGUAUGACAUUACGUGGCUUCGGCCACAGUAAUCAAAGGCCGCAAGGCCGUUGGGGGAGGGGCCCGCGCCCGUUAGCUAGUUGGUGAGGUAACGGCUCACCAAGGCUUUGAUCGGUAGCCGGUCUGAGAGGUGGCCGGCCACACUGGAACUGAGACACGGUCCAGACUCCUACGGGAGGCAGCAGUGGGGAUAUUGCGCAAUGGGCGAAAGCCUGACGCAGCGACGCCGCGUGGGGGAUGAAGCUUUUCGAGUGUAAACCCCUUUCGACCCGGAAGAAUGUCCCGCAAGGAUUGACGGUACGGGUAUAGAAGCCCCGGCUAACUACGUGCCAGCAGCCGCGGUAAUACGUAGGGGGCCAGCGUUGCUGGAAUUACUGGGCGUAAAGGGUUCGUAGGCGGUGCGGCAAGUCGGAAGUGAAAUCUCCAGCUCAACUUGGAGGCUGCUSCCGARASUGCCGCGCUAGAGUGCGGGAGAGGCCAGUGGAUUGCAGGUGUAGCGGUGAAAUGCGUAGAUAUCUGCAGAACACCCC